rnacentral:rRNA from 1 species
UGGGGAAUAUUGGACAAUGGGCGCAAGCCUGAUCCAGCAAUGCCGCGUGUGUGAAGAAGGCCUUCGGGUUGUAAAGCACUUUUAUCGGGAACGAAAUCUGCGGGGUCAAUACCCCCGUAGUCUGACGGUACCCGAGGAAUAAGCACCGGCUAACUCCGUGCCAGCAGCCGCGGUAAUACGGAGGGUGCAAGCGUUAAUCGGAAUUACUGGGCGUAAAGCGUGCGUAGGCGGUUUGUUAAGUCUGCUGUGAAAGCCCCGGGCUCAACCUGGGAAUGGCAGUGGAUACUGGCAAGCUGGAGUGUGUCAGAGGAUGGCGGAAUUCCCGGUGUAGCGGUGAAAUGCGUAGAGAUCGGGAGGAACAUCAGUGGCGAAGGCGGCCAUCUGGGACAACACUGACGCUGAGGCACGAAAGCGUGGGGAGCAAACA